AGGAUUUUGGCCUGGGGGAGGGAGGAAGAGGAGGAGAGAGAGCCCCGGGCAUCCCCGCCGCCUCCGGCGGUGCCUGCGGGCAGCGGCCGGGCCCGGGGCCGCCGCAGCGCCGGGCAGGGCAGCGCCGCAGCCGCCCCGGCCCCCGAGCCCGCUGUGCCCUCCCCCGGGCUGUCGCCGCCCCCGCCCCCGCGGGAGCCGCAGAGAUGACCGCACCUGGAGAGCCUCGGACCGCGGGGAGCCUCGAGCUGAUGUACGGGCGAGCCCGCCGCACCCCAAUAAACCACCGCAGCGCAUAGCCGCCGGGGGAGGGAGGCCGAGCCCGGGGUGACCCUCGGGGGACGCAAAAGUUCGGGGCAGCUGGGAGUGCAUGAACCUGGACCGAGCUAACCCCAGAGCCCUGGAGGAAGGGAAUGAGCUAAAGGAGAAGGAGCCUGGGAACACUAACCACCGCCAUCCGCUGCACCAGCACCGCUCCCAGGAGCGGAGAGGACCAAGUCCUUUUUAAGUGACACCUCAACUUCGUAAGCUGAGCAAACGUUCGGUAAAAGAAAGAAAAGCCGGUAUUCGGAUACAUGGCACAAUGGCUUUUUCCAAGGGAAAGUUAUUUUUGAUGGAGAGUUUCCAGCAGUGCCUGCGACUCGCGUGCGAGCACCGAGCUGGUGCACUUGAAAUGCAAGUGAAGCAGAGGCAGAGAGGUCUGUUUGCCUUAAUGAAUUCCCAAAGGGUGGGAAAAACAACCUGCCUGGGAAAUGAAUGCAAUUUUUGAAACUCUCUUUCCGUCAUCUCUGCAGCUCUCCCUGAAAGAGGUAAAGUUAUUUAAGCAUACAUAGAAGCGGAUUUCUAAUCAAGAUAAAUACCCAGUUUCAUGCCUGAUUUGCAUGAGUAUUUGCUCUAAACUGCUCUUGCAAAUGAGAGAAUUAUGUAUGGAACUAGAUAACCUGAAUGUGCAAUCGUGGUAGCGUAUAUGCAAGAACCUAGUCAUUUACCUGAAUAAAACGUAAGCUUCCUCGGAAAGGAACUCAACUCUAAGGUGCAGGCACACGAUUUUUAUCAUAAAAGUCAGGUUAAAACUGAUUUCAGCCUUCCGAGAACAUAUUCAGCUAUUGAAGCAAAGUCGAGAUUAUGCUUCUUACUCAAUCUAACCUUAAUAAUAGACUAGUUGAGUUACUGUAGUGGUAGUGCUGGAACCUUUUUAAAUUAGAAAUGUAAGAAUUUCUGCUUCAGUGUGUGCUAUUUAAAAAUGUUUCUUAAACUUGGCUGAGGACUCAUCCAUAAAUUAAUAACCUAGCUUUAAAAAUCUCCCUUAUUACUUUAAAUCCUUCUGAGAUUCCCCUGAAGAUAUCUUGAAAGACUUUUCUCCCCUUUUCCAUGCCUCCUCCCUCCUUGCUGGGGCACAGCUGGCUCUAUUUAAAAUUGAUUUUGAUCUCUCAAAAUCAUAUCAUCGGGUAUCUUGACGGAACAAGAAGCAUUCAGCACCCAGGAACAGCAAUGAUCCUUCCCAAACAGCUCUGAGUGCAGGCAGGAGGGCCUGCAUCGGGCAAAGCCACUGCUCCGGCUAGGACGCGCCUGAGAAAUCCUCCCUCGGACCCGGCAGAGGCAGAAGGUGAAGAUCUGGGUGCACACGGAUAACCCACAAGCCCCCCCCCAAAAGCCACAAUUCUACUGUUUUGAACAUGGAAAUCCUCAUUCGUGCUGACUUAGCAUUACUUUUUAGAAGAAACAAGGAAGUAGUUAAAAAUGGGGGCAAUAACACAUUACUGUGGCAUCCAAGUACAUUACGUGAAGACUGCGUGGGGUUGCACUGGUUCCCAUUCAGAAGGCCAAGCCCUUGCUUAAAUCCUCCAAACAGUGAUGAAAUGCAGAAACGAACUGGGCCUUGUUCCCUUUAUUCUGUUAGCUUUGAAUUAACAAAAAAUUCAAUUAAAAACUAAUUAACUUGUUAAAAUUAGAAACAUACUAUUUCCUCAAAUUGCUUUGCUUUUUUUGGUUUCUAGCUUUUACCAAGAGCUCGACAGCUGUGCAGUAAAUGCAUAUAAGAAAUGGGAUCCCCUCGUCUUAAAGAUGAGGAACAGAGAGGUGGCAUAAGUGUGUAGACAGGAGAAAGCUCUGGAAUACCAGCCAUCCUGUUCGCUCUUACUUCGCACUAAGGAGAUGUUCGGUGAAGGGAAUGGGAGGUGGUUAGGAGAUGACAAGGCGUUGAGUUGCAAGCAGGUACCACCCAAGCCUUCCAAGCACCCUCUGUUUUGCUGUUCGGAUUCCCCUUUUUGUGGCUCGGUAUGCAUGGCAUGCGAAGGAACCUGCUUAGCUAAAUGGGAAAUGCCGUGUGUGUUAAGAACGACCAUAAUCUAAUAUGGCCCUUUGGCUCGAUUCAAUUAAAUCCUUUCUUUUCCAAUUAAAUAAGCAGCCAGAGUUUAAUAAAAAUGAAUUUCAGUG